AUUUAAUGCCAGUGAUUACGAAGCAAUGAUGCUAGGAAGUUUAGGAAGAUUCGUUAUUUAAUUCAGUUUACGCGGAAAAGAUAUAUGUUACCUUUUGAAGUAUUUUAUCUUAUACGUGGUAUAUGAAUUAUAAUUUAAUUUAAAUUUGAUAAAUUUAAAGGUGAUAUAAAGAAAUGCAACAGGUAGAUAAUAAUUACCUGUGCAAUAAUGGAAGCUACCUUUUCUUUAUCUAUUGCUGUGUGGAUUCGUUUAUUUUUCAAGUGAUGUGGAGUAUCUCUACGAUGGAGUCUAUUUGGUCUAUUUGAAUCACCACUACCAUCAUAAUCAAUCUACUAACCAUCUGGAUGGAUUUCCAAUUGUGGCAAAAGAAAACAAAUUAAUACUUCUUGCCCUGUUUCCUCAUCAACGUCUGUCUGAAAA
rnacentral:misc_RNA from 1 species